UCCUACGGGAGGCAGCAGUGGGGAAUAUUGCCCAAUGGGGGGAACCCUGAUGCAGCGACGCCGCGUGAGUGAAGAAGUAUUUCGGUAUGUAAAGCUCUAUCCGCAGGGAAGAAAAUGACGGUACCUGACUAAGAAGCCCCGGCUAACUACGUGCCAGCAGCCGCGGUAAUACGUAGGGGGCAAGCGUUAUCCGGAUUUACUGGGUGUAAAGGGAGCGCAGACGGCUGUGCAAGUCUGGAGUGAAAGGCGGGGACCCAACCCCCGGACUGCUCUGGAAACUGUAAAGCUGGAGUGCAGGAGAGGUA
rnacentral:rRNA from 1 species